rnacentral:lncRNA from 1 species
AAAAUUGUGUUUUAUUUAUUCAUUUUUGGCUGUACUAGAUCUUUGUCACUGUAUGGGCUUUUUUCUAGUUGCAGCAACUGGGGACUACUCUUCAUUGCAGUGCACAGGCUUCUCUUUUGGUGGCUUUUCUUGUUGAGGAGCAUAGACUUGAGGACACGUGGGCUCAGUAGUUGCAGCUCCCAGGCACUAGAGCACAGGCUCAGUAGUUGUGGUGCACAUUUGCCCCGUGUCAGUUACUCCACAGCAUGUGAGAUCUUCCUUUACCAGGGAUCGAACCUGUGUUUCCUGCAUUGACAGGUGGAUUCUUUACCACUGAGCCACCAGGGAAGCUCAAUAGUGAAGCUCUGAACUUGGGUAGUGACUGCAUAUAGAAAGAGAAGAAUGGAUCUAAGCAAACCCAGUGCUGAACUCAUCUUUUUCCGGUGGUCAAUAGCCCUAUUUCAAAGCAGCACUCAUUCCUUCAUCCAGCUCUGCAGGAUCUUGGCUUCUGCCAGGAAAGUACAUGAAGUCAAAGGGUGUGGAUUUGGGACCCACUGCCACAACUAGCUGAGAUGUUUAUCUUGAGCAGCUUUCUUCAUUCUCAGAGAGUAUCCUUCUCUGUGUGGCAGGGAUAAUAGUGACAAGAGAGAGCCCCACCCCACCCAGCGGCAAUGAGGAAUAAAUAAGGCGUGGCGCAGGAAAGAGGUGUGGAACUGAAACAGGAGUUGGGGUUUGACUCUUGCAGCGUGGAGAGGGCUGCUGGAUUGUAGAAAGAGAAAGAUUCAACCUCCUGCCACCUCCUUCCUGCUGUCACGCAAUGAGGAAAGCAUUGUCUCAGGGUGACCUUGAAUCUUAGGUGGAAGGGCACUGAGGUCUGAGAAGAUAGAAUUCUAUGUAGAUAGUGGGGCUGCUACUCCUAGGUACUACUUCUCCCUCGUGGAUAAGACAAUGAGUAAAUAAACUCUCCUCUGCACCUUCACCAUUUGUCAGUCCUCUAACGUAGCCUUGAGCACAGUCCCCAAGGCUGUGGUUAGGUACUUUGCACUCCCUCCAGGCAAUGCAAUAUGUCACU